CUGCACAUCAACAUUACUACUAGAUCCGGACUAAAUGCUGCUGCUGUUGUCAACAUUGUUGCUGCGAUCAGCAAUUAGAAGGCUAGCCAGCCACCUGGUGACAGAGCUUCCUAACACAUUAGACCAACGAGGUUGGAAGAAAGCAUGGAGUACAAUGUCAGCACAUUUGGCCUGGUCCCUGGAGUGACAGAAUGUGCGUGAUGGCAGCAGACCAUUUCAAAUCGACAAAAUGUGCUGUCAGAGCUCCAAAUCCGUGCAUGCGCUGUAUGGAGUUUCGGCUCUGACGUGUCUGUGGGUACGGAUUGCAACAGUCCACUCUGCAGAGUUGCCUCCCUUUAGCACGCCAGAAACCUUUACCAGUG